ACAAUUGCCCAGCAAGUAUUGUUUUUACAGUAGAAGAAUUAUACAGUGUUUGAGAUCAAGGAAAAAUAUGGUCAGUAGGGUUUUGGGUUCCGAAUUUAUGGUGUGUUCUCCAAGAUUUGAGGGAUGGCAAUGUCGAAUAUGUAUAUUGGGACUGUAAUUUUAUGUGAAGAGCUUGGUAAUUUGAAGAAAGAUUUUGGUGGAUGUUGGAAAACAGAGUUAGUUGUGUUCGUCUUGUGGUGAGUUUUUGCGAAAAUAUGAAGGAGAUGAUACCCAUGAAGCAGGCAUCUGGUAAUUUAUCAAGAAACCCUUCUACUAUAAAUGGCGAAGAACAGCGGCAGGAGGAUUUUCAAAAAAGAAAAAGUUGCAGAAGAUUGGUGUUUUCUGUGCAAGGAUGGAGGAAAGCUCAUGAUUUGUGAUCAUGGGGGAUGUUUGAAAGCUUAUCACCCUGAAUGUGUGGGGGUAGAGGACUCAGUUUUGACAAGUGAUGAACCUUGGAUAUGUGGACGACAUGCAUGCUUAGUUUGCAAAGGAAAAUCAUAUUAUCAGUGUUAUUGUUGUGAUA
rnacentral:misc_RNA from 1 species